GUGGGGAAUAUUGGACAAUGGGGGGAACCCUGAUCCAGCCAUGCCGCGUGUGUGAAGAAGGCCUUUUGGUUGUAAAGCACUUUAAGCGAGGAGGAGGCUACCGAGAUUAAUACUCUUGGAUAGUGGACGUUACUCGCAGAAUAAGCACCGGCUAACUCUGUGCCAGCAGCCGCGGUAAUACAGAGGGUGCAAGCGUUAAUCGGAUUUACUGGGCGUAAAGCGCGCGUAGGUGGCCAAUUAAGGCAAAUGUGACAUCCCCGAGCUUAACUUGUGAAUUGCAUUCGAUACUGGUUGGCUAGAGUAUGGGAGAGGAUGGUAGAAUUCCAGGUGUAGCGGUGAAAUGCGUAGAGAUCUGGAGGAAUACCGAUGGCGAAGGCAGCCAUCUGGCCUAAUACUGACACUGAGGUGCGAAAGCAUGGGGAGCAAACAGGAUUAGAAACCCUUGUAGUCC
rnacentral:rRNA from 1 species